rnacentral:rRNA from 1 species
UACGGAGGGUGCAAGCGUUGUCCGGAUUCACUGGGUUUAAAGGGUGCGUAGGUGGGCAGGUAAGUCCGUGGUGAAAUCUCUGAGCUUAACUCAGAAACUGCCGUGGAUACUAUUUGUCUUGAAUGUUGUGGAGGUGAGCGGAAUAUGUCAUGUAGCGGUGAAAUGCUUAGAUAUGACAUAGAACACCAAUUGCGAAGGCAGCUCACUACACAAUUAUUGACGCUGAGGCACGAAAGCGUGGGGAUCAAACAGG